rnacentral:tRNA from 1 species
GGGGAUUUAGCUCAGUGGUUCUGGCACCUGCCUUGCAAGCACAAGGACCUGAGUUCGAUCCCCAGUACCUCCC